AGCGCCUGCGGCGGAUCCGGCACGGGCACAUCUGUUCUCUUUCAGAAAGACGAACGGCUUCGCAGGCAGUCUGCCCGCGUACGGUCUUGUACAUCCCGGAAUUUUCCGGGCUUUAACCUAUUU
rnacentral:sRNA from 1 species